CUGAGAGCCAGCCCCCCGUCCCCCACAGCUUAGGACCUCCAUCAAGGAUCCUAAGAACCUUAGGACCCACCUGGAGGACUGUGGGUAUUAGGUGUCCAAGAAGAAAGCUCAAAUCUGCUGACGGCAGGUACCUUGCUUGGGAUUUACUAUCCGACAGGGGUCCGAACGCAGCCCGGGAACAGAAAGAAAGCAGGUUAUUUACAAUCUACCGGAGCCUAAGGGCAGAAGGCAGGUAAGGGAAUUCUUGGGAGCUGUGGGGUUUUGUAGACUGGAUCCCAAACUUUGCAGUAUUAGCCAAGCCUUUGUAUGAGGUCACAAAGGGGGCGGGGAACGGAACCUUUGGAAUGGGGAUCCCAAGAACAAAAAGUCUUUCAGGAGUUAAAGGAAAAACUUCUGGCAGCCCCAGCCCUGGGGCUACCCGAUCUGACAAAGCCUUUUCCAUUGAAUGCGUCAGAUAGAGAAAAGAUGGCAGCUGGACUUUUAACCGAAACUCUGGGGCCCUGGCUGAGGCCGGUGGCCUAGUUGUCUAAACAACUAGAGAGGGUUUCUAAAGGAUGGCCCCUCAUGUUUGAGGGCCGUGGCAUCAACUGCCCUGAUAGUACAAGAAGCAAAUAAGCUGACUCUUGGGCAAAACCUGAACAUAAAGGCCGCCCAUUUUGGGUUGGGUGACAGCCAUCCCCUCUUCCCCCCCUGCCUUAGGACCCCCAUCGCGUAUCCUAAGAUCCUUAGGACUCACCUGGAGGACUGUGGGUAUUAGGUGUCCAAGAAGAAAGCUCAAAUCUGCCAACGGCAGGUACCUUACUUGGGAUUUACUGGAGGACUCUGGGUAUUAGGUGUCCAAGAAGAAAGCUCAAAUCUGCCGACGGCAGGUACCUUACUUGGGAUUUACUAUCCGACAGCGGUCCAAGACAGGGGUCCAAACGCCCGGGAACAGAAAGAAAGCAGGUCAUUUGCAAUCUACCGGAGCCUAAGGGCAGAAGGCAGGUGAGGGAAUUCUUAGGGGCUGUGGGGUUUUGUAGACUGUGCAUCCCAAACUUUGCAGUAUUAGCCAAGUCUUUGUAUGAGGUCACAAAGGGGGCGGGGACCGGGAACCUUUAGAAUGGGGAUCCCAACAACAGCAAGUCUUUCAUGAGUUAAAGGAAAAACUUCUGGCAGCCCCAGCCCCGGGGCUACCAGAUCUGACAAAGCCUUUUCCAUUGAAUGCGUCAGAUAGAGAAAAGAUGGCAGCUGGAAUUUUAACCGAAACUCUGGGGCCCUGGCUGAGGCCGGUGGCCUACGUGUCUAAACAAAUAGAAAGGGUUUCUAAAGGAUGGCCCCCAUGUUUGAAGGCCACGGCAUCAACUGCCCUGCUAGUACCAGAAGCAAAUAAGCUGACUCUUGGGCAAAACCUGAACAUAAAGGCUCCCCAUUUUGUGGUGGCUGAGAGCCAGCCCCUCUUCCGCCCCAGGCUCUUAGGACCCCCAUCGCAGGGAGGGGAGGCACCCCCCACGAGGUAGGGACUGAGAGCCAGCCCCUAUUCUUGAUUUAGCCAAUUUAAGUAUGUAAAACGGGGGGAAAAAUGUGAUGACAGCCUAGUUUUAAGGCAUUGAUUUGAUUGUGUUGUAAAAAAUACAUUCUUCUUUUUCUUUUUUUGAGACGGAGUCUUGCUCUGUCACCCAGGCUGGAGUGCAGUAAGCCCAUCUCUGCUCACUGCAAGCUUACACCAUUCUCCUGCCUCAGCUUCCCUAGUAGCUGGGACUACAGAUGCUUGCCACCAUGCCCGGCUAAUUUUUUUUGUGUGUGUUUUUAGUAGAGAUGGGGUUUCACCAUGUUAGCCAGGAUGGUCUCGAUCUCCUGACCUCGUGAUCCACCCGCCUCGGCCUCCCAAAGUGCUGGGAUUACAGGCGUGAGCCACCAAGCCUGGCCAAAAAAUAUAUUCUUUCAGAAAGAUAACAUGUUUGUUCUUUCAUUCAGUCAAUAUAUAUUUAUUAGUGUUAUUGCUAUGCCAGUGUCUUAGUCCAUUCGUAUUGCUAUAAAGGAAUACCUGAGGCUGGGGUGGUGCCAUGUUGGUUAGAAUGGUGCCAUAUUUUCUGGGAUAGCACCAUGCUGGCUGGGAUGGUGCCAUGUUGGCUGGGAUGGCACCUGCCUCAGCCUCCCAAAUAGCUGGGAUUACAGGCAUCUGCCACCAUGCCUGGCUAAUUUUUUGUAUUUUUAGUAGAGAAGGGGUUUUGUCAUGUUGGCCAGGCUGGUCUAGAAUUCCUGACCUCAGGUGAUCCACCCACCUCAGCCUCCCAAAGUGGUGGGAUUACAGGCGUGAGCCACCACACCCAGCCCAGAUUUCUUUUAUCACGCUCCAUAGGCUCAAUAGCAGGAAACGUGUAGAGAUUCCUCUUGGGAACUGGUCACCAUAUCAUUUGGAUGAGCUACAGACAGACCUUCAAUCAUCCUGUAUCUUACUGUUUUGCUAUCUCUGUACACUGCAGUUAUGUGGACAUGUGUCACCUCCGCCCCACUAUCCAGAAAUGUGGGCUCCUAUGUGCAGGGCCAGAUCUGCUCCCAUGUGCAUCCUCAUCACCUGGCACCAGGCCUGCCCAUGCUAAGCCUCCAUAAAAUUGUUGGACUAAAAGGUGACAUAGGAUACUCAACUUCUCCCAGCCAUAUGUCUUCAUGAACCAAAUGGCAGUGCAGAAAGGGAAUGUUUGCAGUUUCAGUGGGCCUUUCUGAGGGCACUGCAGGGCACACUUCUCCCACCAGGCCCUUGGUGGAGGUGCAGAAUGGGGUCUCUUCAGAAGCCACUUCCAGAGCCCCUACCAAGGGUGGCUCAGAAGGUCUGGUUUUCAAUGAGUCCACUAGGGAAGUCCAUGUGUGACUGAUUCGACCUCGAUGCUUCUACUUCGCCUUCUUUCCAUCUGACUGACUCAGACCUAAUAGUAGGGUUCUAGGCUGCUCCAUGAGCCAAAUAAAUUUUCUGCUCUUAUAAAUGACUCAGUCUGUGGUCUUCUGUUAUAGUAGCACAAAACAGACUAAGACACCAUUCCAGAGAUAUGCAAAUAUUCAACUGUAGGUCUCCAAAAAUGAGAUGGCAAUUUCAAGUUCAGCUCUGACAGAAGUAACAAGAAGGUACACACAAUGAGCAGCACACACAUCUCCCACCUUCUGGGCACAUGUGGCCCACAUCUAGCCAGUCUUCCUGAGCCAGCGGGUCCCAAAGCUGUCUUUGGAUCAUUGCUUCUCCAUGACAAUUUUUGCCAGCUCUUCACUGGCCUGCAGCGUUCCUUUCAAGUAAAUUCCUGACCUGUGGGGGACAAUCUGGGCCCAGCGUGCACCCCUGGUCGCGAGGACCACAUGGCCAGAGAAGCAGAAAGGAGGCUUCAGGCACGAGAAUUUAGGUUCUUCAGCUGCCACAAGUGAAGAGCACCACUUGUAUUUUUUAUUACUACCUGCUAUGGACUGAAUUGUGUUCAGUUCAUAACACGUAGUAAUAAAAAUGUGUAGGUCGAAGCCCUAAUCCCCAGUAUGAUGGUAUUUGGAGUUGCAGGGCGGGGGGCUUUGGGAAGUGAUUAAGGAUAAGGUCAAGAGAGUGGGGUCCUCAUGAUGGGAUUAGUGGCUUUAUACCAAGAGGAAGAGAGACCAGAGUUCUCUCUCUCCCUUCCCCGCCCUCCCCCCACCUCUUUCUCUUUCUCUCUCUGCAAUGUGAGGACAUAGCAAGAAGGUGCCAUCUGCAAGACAAGCAGAGAGCAUCCUCCCCAGAAACCAUGUCUGCUGCACCUUGAUCCUCAAUUUUCCAGUAAGAAAUAAAUGUCUG
rnacentral:lncRNA from 1 species